rnacentral:ncRNA from 2 species
AUUAAGCACUGGGAGCGCUGAGUAGUUCAGCUGAGAGAAAGAUACGAUUACAUCUUUGAUCCCUAUACCUGAUCUAGAUAAUACUAGCGUAGGAAAGUGUAUAAUAUUAAGC